rnacentral:lncRNA from 1 species
UUGAAGCUGCUGAGACAACACUCUUUUACAGGAAAUAAAAACCACAGCAAAGAGUGAGUCUUAUUUUAUUCUAGGAAUUAGGACUCUUUGAUUACAAGUAAUGAGAGUCAACUUGAACUAGAGUAAGCAAAAUUUUAGGACCUGUUAUGACAUUGCAGGUAUGGCUCAGAUCUCAGACACAUCAGGGACCACUGGGCUUCUAGGGCAAGCCCAGGAGUUAGAAUGGGAAAUGGGAAGCAGGACUCAGUUCCUCCUCUCAUCUCAGUUGCUUUGCUGGAAGGCUACAUUCACCUCUCUCCUAGAGACCAACUUGUUCCACUUUCUCAUCAACAUGGUAGACUGUGGUUCUGCCUUAGCCAAAUGAGGCUCUCAGGCCAGUUCCAAAUUUCCAGGGAAGCUGGAGUCCAUCAUACUUCCCU